UACGUAGGUGGCAAGCGUUGUCCGGAUUUACUGGGCGUAAAGGGUGCGUAGGCGGGUCUUUAAGUCAGGGGUGAAAUCCUGGAGCUCAACUCCAGAACUGCCUUUGAUACUGAGGAUCUUGAGUACGGGAGAGGUGAGUGGAACUGCGAGUGUAGAGGUGAAAUUCGUAGAUAUUCGCAAGAACACCAGUGGCGAAGGCGGCUCACUGGCCCGUAACUGACGCUGAGGCACGAAAGCGUGGGGAGCAAACAGG
rnacentral:rRNA from 1 species